CAAUAGCGUAUAUUAAAGUUGUUGCAGUUAAAAAGCUCGUAGUUGGAUUUCGGGUCCCCGCGCUCGGCGCUUCAUUGUGCCGUCGUGGUGUCCCUCCUCGCCGUAAGGCGUCCUUUACUGUGAAAAAAUUAGAGUGUUCAAAGCAGGCAAUCGCUUGAAUACAUUAGCAUGGAAUAAUAAGAUAGGAUCUUGUCUAUUUUGUUGGUUGCGGACAACGAUAAUGAUUAAUAGGGAUAGUUGGGGGUGUCCGUAUUGAGCUGUCAGAGGUGAAAUUCUUGGAUUUGCUCAAGACGAACUACUGCGAAAGCAUUCACCAAGGAUGUUUUCAUUAA
rnacentral:rRNA from 1 species